GCGCUUGGAAUGCGUCCGGGCAGCGCCUAUAUUGGUUCUGUCCGGUUUCGGCCGGACUAUAGCGAUAAACGCGCUUGUAAUAAGCGGACCGGACCCGGGUGCGAUUCCCGGCGGCUCCACCAACUUUCUCCCCGCGUUAUCGGCGGAGGCAGCAUGCUGUCCGGUUUCGGCCGGACUAUAGCGAUAAACGCGCUUGUAAUAAGCGGACCGGACCCGGGUGCGAUUCCCGGCGGCUCCACCAACUUUCUCCCCGCGUUAUCGGCGGAGGCAGCAUGGGGCCGACUAGCAUCGACGGACGUGUAAAGAGGAUUGCUUUCGCUCGUCCUGGCCCACCGUAUCGGGCCAUUUUCUAACUGCGAACGAUAACUUCGCUGGAGAAGUCGCUCUCGCCGCGUAAUGCGGUUCGGGUGAUUUCGAAUCUUAAGUCCUAGGGGUUCAGAUCCUUGGGCGGGGCCUGUCGGGAGCCUGGCAACAGAAUCCCGGCGCU
rnacentral:tmRNA from 1 species